rnacentral:piRNA from 1 species
UCCUAAAUACCUGUCUACUUUUUGCAUUA